UGCAAAACCCACAAAAGCUUCAAACCGAUCGAAAUUUCACCUUCUACCCUCCUCUGCUCUGCUAACCUCCCUUGUCUCUCUUUCACCAUCUCUACUCCUCUGCGGAGGUCCCCUCUCUCUCGUGUGAAGGUCCCCUCUCUCCCGUGGCCCUCUCAUCUCUCUACGCUGCUGGCCUCACUCUCUCUUCGUUGCUGCCCUCAUGCCGUCUCAUCGCUCGUCCCCUUCUCUCAAGGCCUUUCUCUCUCACCACCUGCUUUAGAGAGAGAAGAAACCUCCUUCAAGAAGAAACCCAACAUGUUUUAGUUUUUUCUAUAUUACGAUUUUGCAUAUCAUUUUUCCUUUUGCCAUUGAUAUAUGGAAUGCGAGCUAUCCAUCUCUCAGCCUGCAUUAAUUCAGUUUGUAUCAUUUUUAAGCUUGGUAUGGAUUUUUUUGUGUGCCAUUUUACCCAAUUUUUUUCUGGUUAGUUCUCUCUCUAUUACGAUUUUGCAUAUCAUUUUCACUUUCACCAUUGAUAUAUGGAACGCGAGCUCUCCAUCUCUGAGCCUGCAUUAAUUCAGUUUGUAUCAUUUUUAGGCUUGGUAUGGAUUUUUUGUUGUGCCCUUUUACCCAAUUUUUUUUUUCUGAAUUCAAUCACAAAAACAGAGGAACAAUGGUUCAGUUGGAUUUUAUUACUUUCUUUUAUCAUUGAUUCUGAAAGAAAACUGAAUUAGAUGAUUAUAAAUGGGUUUCACUGCACAAUUUUUAUUGUUUUGAUCUAUAACUUGAAGAAAUUGCAAUGAAUACCGCUGAAUGCCCUAAUAGAAAAAAUAAUGCAUGACUUUUAAUUGAAAUUUUAAUACAAUUAUUUGGUUUUAUGUCAUGCUUUUGUUCUCUAUUUCACAAUGCAACAUUUUCUUUUAUUUUUUAAAUGAAUUUAGGUUCAGUAUUCAUUUCCCUGAAGUUGAACUUUGAAAUGAAAUCUUAGGGUUUUAUGUUACUUACUUUCUGUUAAUGGUGUGAAUAGGUUCAUGCGAGAUGAGCUUUUGUCUCAAGUAUUGGAAGCACUACCUAUCAUCCGGGGUCUUGUAGUACAGAAAACAAAAUCGAUAAGUGAUUGCAAUCGGUUAUUGAAUGUAUCUCUUGGACUCUCUUCUGCUUGAGAGUAGUGAAAACAAGUGCCAUUUCAUACGAGCCUGCAUUCCGGGUUUGCUGAUCCUUGGAGAAGAAAGAAAGGGACGAAAAUCUCUGUGGGAGGAAAUCCACCAUAGCACAGAACUCUUAAGGCAUUCGGCUACCUAUGAAAGUAUUAUCCAAUCCCAUUAGAGGAGCUCGAGGAGAAAAAUGCAAAUGAUGAUGUACUUGGGGACAUUGGAGAGAGUAGCUCCCGAUCGGAAGAUCAGAUCUCGACACAGCCAUUACUAUGUCAGCGCUAACGGAGGAGGUUGUACGGGCGUACUAUGCUUGUAUCAUGGAUGCCUCAACAUCAGUAUCUCCCUCCUCUCCCCUCAACAUUACUAAUUCAAAAAAUGGGAAUGAGUGUGGUGCUCAGGUUAUACUGGAUGAAGCUUGCCAUGAUUUUCCAUCUGAUGAGGACAUAGUUGCAAUAAAUGGAGAAGGAGAUUCGUUACUUAUAGAUGCUGAGGUAGCCCUAACAAGAGGUGCAAGUAUCGAAUCGGCAAUAGGAAUGGCAUUUACUGACGAAGAUGAAGCUUAUGAUUAUUAUAAUAAGUACGCAAAAUUUGUAGGAUUUGAUAUAAGAAAGGGAAGGAAGUGUAAAGUUUGCAAUAAGAGUGGAUAUGACAAACGUAACUGUCUCGUGAGGGUACAUGGGAUGUGGCGCUACCGAGGACCUCGAGCCGAGUUGAUUAAUUUUUUGAAUAAUUUAUGGGGAAUGUAAAGGAGUUGACUAAUUUUUUGAAUUUUGGAAACUUGUAAAUACCCCUUUUUGUAGUUGACUUUGGGGGUUAAGUGAAUAUUUAAUAUUCAUGUAAUUUUGUGGCCAUGUAAAAGGCCCCUCUAUGGGGCAUCUAAUGAACCUAUUUAGUGACUUUUUGGUAA